UAGUUGUUUCAUCAGUUUUUAAAUAUCUGCUCCAAGAUCAGGAUGGGUAUUCCAUGGCUUUUAUUAUUUUCCGCUCUUUUGCACUUUGUGAGAGCUCUACCCAUCAAAUGUUUUAAGAAAGUUUGUGAUGAGCUUCCAUAUGAUAUUUGGUCAAACGAUUCUGAAUUUCCUUAUUUUAAAACGGAUAUCUCUGAUAUUCCGCCUCAAAGACUAGGAUAAAUGAUAUUCCAUUUCAUAUAACAAGUCAUAUUUCAUACCUAUGUAACUUUAUAUGAUUUAAAAUCCUUUUCUUUAACUGAGUUUAAAUUACUAGACAAAGAAAUACAACCUAAAAAACCAUUUUGUAUUUAAUUUUUAUGUAGUUAAAGCUUUGAUGUCGAAAUAAAUGCAAUCUAAUUGAAA